AUCUAACUGAUGAGUCCUGAAUAGAACGAAACGCGCUUACUGUAU
rfam:Schistosoma haematobium scaffold152_6, whole genome shotgun sequence.